rnacentral:pre_miRNA from 1 species
UGAUUGUCCAAACGCAAUUCUUGUGCGAGUUUGCGGCCAACCGAGAAUUGUGACUGGACAUCUGU